UAUGUAUGACAGCUAUAAGACAUCAGGACCACUUCCUUAAGGGGGUUGAUGCUGAGACUUACAUAAUAAGGUGGGUGCAGGCAGCAAGUAGGUAUACAAUCUGGUUUUCCCUACUCCUUAGGGAUAACUUCCCUGAGGUCCAGUGUCUUUAGGAGAGUGGAGUGGCUACACCAGCCCAUGGAGUCCUCUGUGGAGACCAUCAUAUACAAGAGGUGGUGGUUAUGACUGAGAAGCAGCUUUGAGUCUUUCUGACCAUGUCCUCAAACUGCAACCCUGAUUGCAUUCUGUGCUGUGGUUUGGCAUGGAAACAAAGGUUGGCUUUCUCCAGUUAAUGGAAAACACGGCCACCAGUAACUUCCCAAGCUCACAUAUCCCUGCCUCACAGUGAGAAAGGGUUUGGUAUGUGUUCUUUGUGUUUCCCACGUUCCCUGGGUGAGGGAGAGAUCUGGUUAGCUCCCCUUUCAUCUGGUGUCUAUACCUAUGUGGUCCGGGCAGGGAGACCACCCCCAUGUUGUGGUUACAACUGAGGAAAGUUUUGCACAGAAGAAGGGAAGAGUGUUAGGCCUGGGAAACUAGGGAUGGUCAUAAGGGACAUCUUUGGUGAUUGGGAAUGCUUUCAUGAGUGAACACUGAAUGUUUGUACUUACUAAUUUUGCCUUCUUUUGAAACAUAAACUGAAUCAGCUCUUUCUUCUUUGUUGACCUUUCAGAUACUUAAGUGUAGCUGCUAUGACUGGCCCCGUGGCCUAUAACAGCCAUCUCCUGGCCGAGGUCUCCUGCUGCUGGGUUACCUUGCACCCUCCCUUUCAACUCUCAUAGGGCCCUCUUAGACUCUCCCUGCUUCCUCUUUUUCUUUAGCCUCCUUAAUCCCUGUCCUUCCACCUCACUCUGCCGAGUCCCCAACAUUUCCCUUAAUCAUUGCUCACUGGCCUUGGUGGCUGCAGAUCUGUUACCCAGGAUCUUGUAGGAAUGCAGUCCUUUCAGUGGAAAACAGGUUUGGGAACCUGAUAGAUCUGUUUUGAUUCCACCUCUCCCGCUGAGUAAAAGUGGGACCUUAAGAAAUUGACCUUUUGCAAUGUUGUCGUAAGGAUUACAGACCAAUACCAAGCACCUUGUCUGCAGCUCAGCCUGGCAUAUGAAUUGGCACUCACACCAUAGCUGUGGUAUUGUCUUCAUUAGUAUUAUCUCAGUUCCUGACAUGCCACAGGAAACGGACAUGUGGUUAGAGUCCUGUGCCCAUGGAGAAAAAGAUGAGAUUCCUCUGAUCCUAGAUAAGACAAUCUGAAGAUGUGGCCUGACUGCACAGGCAGGCAAGAAUUGGACUCUGAGACUCAGUUUCUCUCCCCUGCAGGGCUUCGAAUCCAGUCUUAGAGCUUAGGCAUGGGAGGAUAGCAGCUGAUUUUCUCUUGUUUCCUACUUCAGGUCGUAAGCCAGUUGUCUUGAGAGAAAUGAAAGGCCCAUUAUCCCAAGCUAGGGAAUUAGACAGAACUUGAAUUCCAUCUAGGUCAGCUAGCAGAGACCCUGCAGGUAGAAAUGGCUCUUCUCUGGGCUUUCCUGGGUGUGCCAGCUCAGCUUGUUCAACUCAGUUGGCGAGUUACUACUCUGGCUAAAUGUUUUGGCAUCUGUGGCUCUCCAAAUUUUGGCUCUAGCCUACUUAUCCAGUUUCAACUCUCUUUACUUUCCUACUCACCUUCUACCUUUUCAGAAAAGGUCAAUUGACAGUCACCAAAGCCUGCCCUGUGAAGAUGCACCCUGAAAUUUUCCUACAUCAUUAUCUAAGUGGGUGUCUUGCACCAAACUAAAUCCAUCUUUGCCACACUGUGCAUCCAUCCAUCCGUCCACAUCCAUCUGUCCAUCCAUUAAAUAAAUUAAUAUUUAUUCUAUCAUAUUAUUAUUUUUCUUUUCCAGGCUUUAGGGAUCCAGAUGUGAACAACAAGUUCCUGGCCUCAUGGAAUUUACAUCCUAGUGAAAGAAACAGAAAACAAGCACAUAAAUAGAUACUUUGAUGCUUUAACGCUAGAUGUGUUAAGUAUUAUGCUGGAAACUAAAGCAAAGUAAUUAAAUAGGAAAUGAUGUUGGGUGUGCGUAGGGUAGAGAAUUGACUAUGUUAGAAAAGCUCAUUUGGGAUCCUAGAAUCAAUGAUUUGGAGGACUGGGGAAUGGAAGGUCAUCUAGUCCAGAAUACCACUUAAUUCAGGGAUGCCUUUGACAGUAUCUCUGAAAGAUGACUACUCACAGAGAAAAUAAACCAUUGCUCUCAAGAACAUGGGCCUUGGAACUGGAUUAACUGGAAUUUGAAUUCUAGCUCAAUCACUUGUUACCACUUUCUACUAUCUCAGAGAUGAGAUUUUUAAAUGACAUAUAUUCAAUAUUUAUUUAAAAUUAUGUGUAAUACAUACAUAUACAUAUAUAUGUGUGUGUGUGUGUAUAUAUAUAUAUAUUUUUCCUAAUGCCAGUGUUUAUGGGAACUUCAACUUUGCCAAGCUGUCUGACCUGAGAUCAGAUUGGAUUUUUCACUACCUUUUUGUCUAAUGAACCAAAUAAACCUGCCCUUUUUAUUAAGCUUGGCUUUUGUUGAUUAUCUCUUUAAAUCUGAUGUUUUUCUUUUCUCUAUAUGUAUGUCAUUUUUAAUGAGACAAAUACAUGAGACAGUGUUUUCGAGAGGUUUACAGGCAAGAAUAAAACAAGACCAUCAACAACAAUGAGUAGCAGGUUAUCAUGCCAAGAUUCCCUGAAACAGUUGACAUGGCGUGGUGAGCUGUAUACUCAAUUGCACCAAUUGUGUUUAACUGCUUUAAGCUAGAACAAAUGGGCGCGGUAGGAGAAGCUACCUGAUCAUAAUGGCUCAUUUACUGGGCACCCACUGUGUGUGGACACUGAGCUUAACCCUUACAAGGUGUUUAGCUUUUAAUCCUCAUACUGUUCUUAUUCCCAUGUUACAGAAAAAGAAACGGAAACUUACAGAGUUUAAGUAGGUAGCUCAAGAUGAUGUAGCUCAUAACUGUUGGAGCUGCUUGGGUUGAGAACUUUCUUCUUUUUUAUAAAAUAGUUCAUUGAUUCCCAAAGGAAGAAAAUUUUAAUCAUGAGCAUAAGGGGAAAAGAAAAACUGGGGCUAACUGUAUGACCAGACAUUUUCUUCCAGUGCCAAUAACAAUAUUGCCACCACUGCAGGUAGAGACACGAUUAUGGGGAGAGACUUCUUGGACAUGAAAUCUAGCUUUUAUGAUUUAAUCUGCAUGGAUAUCUGAAGGGGCUGUAUAAAAAAGAAGUGGGAAUAAACACAUAGAAGGAGUGACCUGAGGGGCUACAUAAAACCCUCCUGUCCCAGAUUAACUCCUCUUCCCAGUUGUCAUGUCUGAAAUUACUCCAUUAGUGACUAAUAUCCUUGCAUAGUUUUCUAGGUGUCACCUUAACAUGGGCAGUACAGCCAGAGGCUAUCAGAUUUCAUCGAAAUUCUGAGUUUGCUGUUUCACAUUGUCUCACCCCUGUUUCCUACCCUGAGAUAACUUAGUGUCCUCACCGGCCUGUUGCUUCUAUAUUGAGUCUCACUUCAUUGCCCCUCCGUCGGACCUCCAUUCUGUGACUCUGUCCCUCACCCCUUUGUUGUCUAAAGCUGACAGUGGGUGAUAAUCCAUCAGUUGUUAGGUGGAAUCCCUUAGAUAAUGUGAAUUCUCUCUUAGAAAACAGUGCCAUGAUAUUUAAGCAAUAGGCUGAUUCUGUGAGUUUUCAGCAUUUGAAUUGUAGUGUAUGGGGUUAAAGGGCAGUUCAAGGAAGGGGGCAGAGAUUUGUUUAAUUUGCUAGGAGCCUUCCCACAUUCUUAAGUCAUGGUUCCUUCUGUAUGCAUAAAGCUGGUUCUGCUUGUAAAAUGGAAGCUGGCCCUUCAUUUUCUGCCUGACACCUCAUGACAGAUGGAAAUGUCCCAUCCGCUUCUCAUUCUUAUCUCUCAGCAUCCUUCCUCUCUGAACAAAUGAGCAUUCGUGACCCUUACUGAGUCAAUUCCAUUUAAACAGAAGGCCAGAUACACCCCAGUGUAUUCAAUUAUUUUAUAAUCAAUUCCCUUUCCUGCCGAUCUUUCUUCCAAGGGUCAGGGAGCACUUUACAAACUGUCUUGGCAGCAGUCACAAGUCAGAGCACAGUGACCAGCAUCUGAAGACGGUGAUUUAGGAGAGAGUGGAUAUGAAAAGACAAUUUUGAUUUUGAUCAAUGAAUGAUAAUACUUUGUGUGUUAGUUGCAGAGGUGGUGAUGAGAUUAACAAAUAAAUCACUAAUGGAGGAAUUUCAGCCUGUUGGUGUUGGGGACAGUUAGCAGCCCAGCAACUCAUUUCACAGUGUGGACACUUAGUAAAUCUCUACUGAAUGAUUAAUUAUAUAAAUGCAUUCAUUCAAAAUAUUGUGGAGCUCCUGCUGUGUGUCAGAGACUGAACUCAGCCGUGGGGAUACAGAAAUUUGGGUUUGGUGCAAAAGGAUGCAGUAGUGAAUGAAUAUACCACUGUACUUUGCCUUAAAGAUGCUUACAUGAAAGCACAUGAGAUAAAUAAACAUAAUAAAGAUGAUUAGGAAAGGCAAGAGAACAAAUACACCAUGAGGAUGAAACUUACCAAGCAGAGGUUACAAACUGGAAUAUUUAUAAUGGUGUGCUCAGAGUUUUAAAAGUAAAUAUUCUUUUGAGUCAAUAUUGAAAAAUUGUAGAUCACAAAUACACACACAUACCCUCACAGAUGCUCACAUGCACACAUUCCUCAGAUUUUGAGCUUCUUUUGAGUAGUUCAUAUCUGCUAACAUUAGCCUCGGAUUCCCCCUGUAGCAACUAGUUGAAGCCGAGUAGCUUUCUAGGGCGGUCUUUCUCUCAUAAGCUGUGGCUUCCCACCUCCACCCGUUCACAGCAAAGAUAUGUUCGCUUAUACACAAGUGACCUUCUUUUGCAUGUAUGCCUCCUUGCCACUCUAAGCAUUUAAUCUUGAAAAUGCUGCUGUUAGGGUGCAGCGGGCAAUGAAGAAGGAGGGUGUCAGUCCUAUUUUGAGAGGUGUCAGAGAGGAAGUGACUCUUGAGUGUUGUUAAAAGCUGAAAUGUUAAUUAGGUAGAAAAUGGUAGAUGGGCCUUCCAUGCAGAGGGGAUUAGAAAAUGAAAGGCAAGCAAGUGCAUGAACCCUUAGAGGAACUGUAAGGUUUUGCCUGAAGCCUAGUGCUGGGGAAGGGAUGGGAGAGAGAGGGCACGGCCAGCUCAUGCAGGACCUUGCUUGGCAUGCUAAGGGCUUUGUACUCCUUUACAGCCUCUUUGUUUCUGCAACACCCUCUACCCCAAAUCACUAAUACAAUAAAUUACAGUUCUAAAAACAAGUUAAAGAUAUAAAGCCAUUUAGUUACUAAGGCCAGAAUCCUAAACUCAUCCUUGAUUCUUCUGUCUCUACUCCUUCAUGAAUUUAUUAUAAAGUCCUGCCAAUUCCACCUUCUAAAUAUUCCUCGAUUUCCACUCUUUCCUACCUUCAUCCCAUAACACUCUAUGUCUUGUUCACUGCCUUUUUUCCAUGCCCUUCCCUUGGUCCCAGAUGUUUCUCUUCUCCACUCAGGGCUUCCUAUAUGCUGUCUCCCCACCUACAUCUCAGUUUCCUUGGGACAAGCUCCCGCCCACUCCAGGUCCCAGCUUAGUUGUCACUAACUCAGGGUACCUUGCCCUGACCUUGCCCUACUCCCUGUUUCUUCUUGCACGAGAUAAGGUAUCCCUACAUAUGUUCUUGAAACAUCCUGACACUUCUCUGCCUUAGAACUUCUAGCAGUUUUAUUGCCUGUAUAAUUAUCUGCUCAAUUAUAAUAGAGCUCCAAGAGAACAAGGGCAGGUCGUGUUUGUCUUGCCCAUCUCACCUACCCCAAACCAAGCAGUUAGCCCUGUGACUGACACACUGUAUUGGUCACAUUAUCACUGCAGAGUAAUACUUAUAAAAAUAACUAUAGAAAACCAGUGCUUUGCCUAGUAAUAAUACUGAGGACUAAUGACAUGGGACUGGCUGUAUUAAUGAAGGGACCUUGUUUAUUCAUUCCAACAGUAUAUUUUGGAGGCUCAUCAGGUACCUGCUGUCAUUGAGGAUCCAGGGGUAGGGCUCUCCCUGACUUUGUGGAGUACACGUGGAGGAUUCAUGAAGGGAAGAGGAAGGAAAUGAUGAACAGAAGGGAAGGAAGGAGGGAAGGAUAAAAGGAAGGAAAAGAAAGGAGGAAAGAAUGAAAGUUGAAAAGAAAGAAGAAUUAUUAGCCUAAGUAAUGAAAUCAUUUGUUUCCAGUAGAGAGGGCUGACCUUGAAAGACCAAAUGAACUUUCUUUAUACUUCUUCAUUAUGAAAAUAAUCAGUAUAUGGUUGAUGCAAUUGAAAACCUGAAGGUGGAAAUUUCUAUUCACAUCCCUUGAUUGCUAGUAAUUAAUUAGGUGAAAACUUUGAAACUUGGAAAGAACCACACAAGGGGUUUGAUACAAAGACCUAGACAGUCUGUUUACCCAAAGAAGAAACAGAAUCUAGACUCAUGAGGAGUAAGGUAAGUUCACAAAUGGGCACUUAGCAGACAGAAAUCCCAAGACCAGCACAGAGCUUUCCAUACUAAUGUUCAGGCCAACCCAAUAUUGCCACUGCUGAGCCACACCCUAGGGUUUCAGCGCAAAUAUAAAGACAGAAAAGAUAUUUGGCUCCUAACUUCCCCUAAGUCUAUUUCAGUUUUCUUCUUUUUAAACCUUUAUCAACAUAUUUUCACAAGACUUUCAUAAUAACCAAAACACUCAACAGUCAACCACAAGAGCACACCACAAGAUCCUACCAGAGAAAUAGAACAAAGUGCACUAAGUGGAUACAUAGAGGGGCUGUAGUGGUUUAUGUAGAGUAUAUUGAGCCAACUCUUAGAUAUGGAAAAACAAUAAAUUUAAGUAAUCUUAAAAAAAAAGAGUGGGCUUCUCAGUCAGCAGUCUGGACAGGUGCUAACAUACAAUGAAAGGAAUCAUUUAAAACAGCCUCAGUUGCAACUAGAUUCUGCAAACACAUAACGAAGAAAGAGAAUGCAUUUCCUUUCUCUUUUAAUUCUUCCUGCAACCAGUGGACUAUUGAAGGUUUGCCCCAGUUAAUUUAGAAAGUUGGAGAAAACUAGCUAGACAUCAGAUCUGAUGCAGACCUCCUCACCAAUCCCUGGAAGGCUGUUCUCUGCAUUUCUUCAAAUUCUUCAGAUGCAGAAUUUGAAAAAUCAAGCAAACUAGAAGAUUAUAUUAUAACCAACCAAUGUUAGAAAGAAUAAUAUUUUUUUCCUUAUGCUUAUGUAACUAGUAAAAUAGUUAGCCUUUAUUAUUUCCUUUUUGGGUGCCAGCUACUUUACUACCCAUUGCAUAUAUAGUAACUAGCAAGAACAAAAUCACUUCAAGGUUGGUAGUAAUAUUUCUAUUAUUUUUAGAAAAGGCAAUUGAGGCCUAGUGAGAUGCAAAUGACUUGACUUACAAAGUCCCACAGCUGUGAAGUUACCAUGGCUGGGGACUUAAAUGCUUGAGUUUGUCUGCCUCCAAAGCCUGGGCUAUUUCCACUGUAUCAGUCUUCAUGGAACCAGAACACUGCCCUACACAUUGAAAUAAAGACAUAUUAUUAGUGCCAUUCUAGUCUUUUGCUGGGCACUGAACGAUUAACAACAUUGCCCCUGGAAGAAGUUGUCAUAUUUAUUUUUACUUUGGCAUUUUCCGUCUUGCAAUUACAUAGCAAAUUCAAGAACUAACAUAUUUCCCCUUUUCUGGACUUCUCCAAAGUGGGGUCCUGUGGCCUCCUGAUGCAGGAAUUUGGUUUUCCCAGAUAGCAAGUCACCUCACCACCCCCUUCCUCUCUCAUCUUUACCAGUCCUGCUUCAGAAAACAGAUUGUUUGUAUUGAAUUUCCAGACCACAAUUCCCAGACCACGGAAGGAUGAGGACCAAAUUUUUUUUCUUCCAUCAUCUCUAUUUCUGUGGGUAGAUGUAUUUUUAGAGCCAGUUACAAAGGAGGAGAAAAAACCCACUCCCAGACAACUUCCUAAUCUAAUACAGAGAAUGCAGCAUCUUCACGCUCAGCAGAAGGGACAGGAUGUCAACUGUUGCUACAACAGAGCUUUUUUUGAACCGAGUCAGAGUGUAAUUUGUUUGAGAGAAUGCCUGAUUGCAGAGGAGAAAGGAGAGCAAGAAUUUGGGUUAGUUAGAGAAGCCAGUAGUUGUCCUUCAGAAGGCAUCAGUUAAAACUCUGGCAAAUAAGUCCAUUCAAGAUCUCAUCAAACAGAAAAUGCCUAUUAAUGUGUAAAAUGUAUUUUUUGGUGGGGAAGAAAUAGAGGGAGCAAAAAGGAAAAGUAAUUACUUCUUAUUUCUCCACCCAGAGACAGACAUGUUUAAAAAUUGAUAGGUUGUUCUAGAUUAUAUUUGUUUAUAGAUAUACAUGUAUGUGCAUGGGUAUACCUAUAUACAUAUUUUUUAACAAAACUAGGGCCAUACUACAUAUUCUUUAUUUUCACAUGUAUUUUUUUACUUGAAAACACACUAUGGAUAGUCUAUCUGGUAAAAAAAAGUGUUUUUUUUUACAUUAUUUUUCAUUGCUUCAGAGUAUUCCUUGAAUGGGUAUGCAACAGUUAUUGGCUAUAUAUGUUGCUUUCUAUUUACUUAUGACAAACUAACCAUGUUGACAUCCUUGUAGGUAAAAAUCCUAAUCCAAUACUUACCUAAUUUCCUUAGGAAAAAUUAAUAAAAAGGGCAUUAAUGGGCUAAAAGCUCUGUACAUAUUCAAGAUUAAACUGCCCUCAGAAAGGGCUACUGUCUGAAUAUAGAAAAUACCAUUUUCUAAUCUUCACUAAUACUGAAUAUCUAUGAGUAAUAAAAAAUAAUCCUUAAAAGAUGGCCACUUAUUCAUUUUGGUUGGUAUCCUGAAAAAUGUCAAAAUUUAUCUUAAGACUACAAAUUUUAUUUAGGAAAAUAGCUGCUUGACUUUUUUUUAGCUGUGAAAGGCCAGACUUGAGGUUGGCAAACUUUUUCUGCAAAGGUUCAGAUAGUAAAUAUUUUAGGCUUUGUGGGCCAUAAGGUCUCUGUCCCAACUACCCAACUCCGCAGCAGCCUAUGUGGCUGUGUUGCAACAAAACUUUAUAAACACAGGUGGAUUUGACCCACACGGCUGUGGUUUGCCAACCCUUGGGCUAGACCUUUGGGUAUGGUCUUUAAAGACAAGACUGAGAUAAUGACAGAGCAAUAGUACCUUGCGAGAUGGAGUAACUGAUACUUGGGGAGCUCUUGGUAGUAGGGGCCGUGGUUAGAGGGGGCGAAGGCUUGGUGGAGGCAGGAGAGGCUCUGGGGCAGGAGAAGGAAGCUAGGAAGGCUGAAGGAGAAGCCUGCCAAAGAGCAGCGCCCGAUGGUGUGGGUGUCUGAAUAGGCCUGGCUGAGGAAUUUAGUCAUGUCUAAGAUUAAUUUUAACUUGUUUCCUCUUGGCCGCAGGAGACAGGAGUCCCUUGCAUUUUUCUCAAAACUUCCAUGAGAUUUUGCCAUAUUAUGUGCUUUGGAAGAGUGAGGGAAGUGGGAACAGUUCCCUGGGUCGAGUAGGUGGUAGAAUGAACCUGGGCAGGGGCACCAUGGUGAAUGGAAUGCUUGAGAAUUAAUCUGGGAGAAGGAAUAAGACCAAGUGUAGCAAGAGAACAUUAUUCUGCUUCUCUCCUGGUGCCUUCUGAAGUCUGGGGAACACUCUACUUGUCUCGGGCUGUGGGAUGGGGCCGUAUCAUGCAGGGUCCUGCAGGCAACGGAGUGCUGGAGCAGAUACGUGGGCAGGGUUACAGGACAUCCAAGAUGAGGAUGGGCCCCGGGACCAGCAACAGCAGAGCCAUCAGCGCCCCUAGACACGGGGCGGUAGGGGAGAGAGCCACGUCACCAGAGGCUGAUGAGAGCCAGAGCCAGAAGAGAAACCUCCCCUUGCUGGUACCUGUGGCUGUGUGCAGCCAGGAUCAGAACGGACACCUAGGUGGUCAGGGCUGUUAAAAUAAUCACUCAGAUCUCUUUCUUCCCAUCUUUAUUCUCCUGCUUGGGUGCCCAGUGGCAGGACUACAUGGUAUUAGGGGCAAAGAGACUGGGCAGUGAAAUCCACAGAGGUCAGUCUCCCAGGACACCAAGGAGGUUAGAGUAGACUUGGGCCAAUGAGUAGUAGUGGUGAAUGACCAGCCAUUUUAUUUGGAUUAUAAGAGAAAGGACAUCAUCAGAGAAGUGGAAGACCUGGGAUAUCUGGGUUUAAGAAAAUCUGCCAAAUUAUUUAAUGAAAAAUAAUAUUGUGUAAUUUUAAUUCUUUUUUUUUAACAUGCAACAAUACCAGGUGAUUUGGACAUAGAGAUUGGCACAGCAAGUACGCAUGCUGUUUGCGAUUGCUGUUUGCUCUAGUUUGGUUUCAGAAAGCUGAAAUAUGCCCCAGAUUAAUCUGCGUGUGGCAUGUAUUCAGUUUAUUUUGUACAGAAAAAACUCUACCAACACUAUUCAAUUAAAAGGAAAAAGGUAUAUCCAUUGAGUCCUGUGUAAUUACAACAAUAUGUUAUAUUUACUAUUUAAAAAGGAACCUUAAAUUUAUGCCACAUAAAACAUAUUAAGACUAACUGAAAAGUUUAGUUUUGUGUUCUGAAGGAGUGAGAAUGAUCCUUCAUUUUCAGAAGAAUCAGCCUCCAGGGCUGGUGGAGGAGCUGAGACAAAUGACAGCUCAGAAUCACCUUCUUGUGCAGCUCGGGGCACCUGUACAUCCUCCUAUUGUGCAUUGUUAACUUCGAUCUUUGCUUAAAUGGAUCCAUCAGCUUUUAGAGGGAAGUGAGAGGUACUCGUAGAGUAAGAGAUGUAGAUGUGCCUUGCUCCACGGGUUGGUUUAAUCAGCUUCUGUUCCUAAUGAAACCAGAAAUAAAUGGAGAUGAAGACAUGAAUUUCCCCAACACAUUAGCUUUUUGUAGGAAGGAUUCCCCAACCAAAAAAAAGUAAGGUGUUUUUUUUUUUGAGCCCUGUGGUAUGACAGUAGUGUGCUCUGUGCUUUAGUCUGAGACACAUAAUUUUGGAAACAUAUUUAAUCUAUUUCAGCACCACCUGCUAACAGAAUAGUGAUGGCACUCACACAAGCCCCGCCCCUCCCAAAGUGCCUGAGCCCCUAGAAUACCUGCUGUUAAUUGAAUGUUUUAUUCAUAGAUUACAAGAGGGCCUUACUUUAUCAGGAGAUAGGGAAUUGUACUUGCACCUUUGCUGCAAAUCAAACUCCAUUUCCUUUGCUAAUAUACAUCCUUUUAAAACACAGACCUUUGCCUGACCCUUCACUCAGCUUCCCGUUAAUACAGUCUGAUCACUCCUGCUUGCCUUGCAGAUACGCAGCUACAGUGAUGCUGGCCAGGCCUCAGGAACAUUGAUCAAGAAGUCAAGGAAAGGAUGUUGAGCAUGUUUUUGUAAUUACCCCUGUGUUAGGUGCAAUUUCCAGACUCCAGGUGAUAAUGAAACACAGUCAGCCACUCAGGUCACUGUAAGAUCCGUGUCCUUCCAAGAUGAAGCAUCUUUGGGAUUGCCCUCGCAUACCUUGCCCCUACUAAUCAGAGGUUUUCUUGUAGUACAAUUGAACAGGAAGACCCAGAAAAAAAGAAUUUCUGCUUCCAUAGUACAGCCACUAACUCAGAACCCAAGGGUGCCAGAGCAAGUUGCCAACUCCAUACCUUCUUUAAUACAACAGAAAAGCAAGUCUGUUAAUUUAUAUUAGGGUUGUAUUAAUGGAAUGACCAGAAACCCAGCAGGCAGGUAAGAACAUUUUAGACUUUACCUCUCUUCCAAGAAUAGCUAGAGUUUUGAUAGUUAUCACAAAGAAUGAAUGGUUCUAUUGUCCAGACAUCUGCUUGUAGUUUUUGGCCUUUUCUUUAGGAGUUGUUGUUCCAAGCACUUGCAUGUGCAUACGAAUGACUUAAGAAUUUUGUAUAUACUUUGAGAAAUUUUUCAGCCAUAAUUUUGGUCCUUCAGGAUUUUUGCCUAAUAUUUUAGAAUGCCAGCCCCUGCCGUCUGCCGAAGAUAAGCUUUCACCCUUGUUCAGCAGAGUGAUUCUGUAUCACGGCUGUGCAUACAUUUGGGUCUCUAGUACCCGGAUAAGUAACUAUUGACUGUUCUCUUAGUCUGUUCAGGCUGCCGUAACAAGAAACCAUAAACUAGGUGGCUUAUAAACAACAAACAUUUAUUUCUCCCAGUUCUAGAAGCUGAGAAGCCCAAGAUCAAAAUGCUGGUAUAUUCUGCGUCUCCUGAGAGGCUACAUCCUGGUUCACACCAGUGUUUUCACUGUGUCCUCACAGAGCACAGGGGACAAGGGAGCUUUCUUGGUCUUCUUUUGUAAGAGCGCUAAUCUUAUUCAUGAGGGCAGAGCACCUUCCAAAGGUCCCACCUCCUAAUAUCAUCGCCUUGGGGGUUAGAAAUUCAACGUACGAAUUUGAAAGGGACACAAACAUUCAGUCCAUAGCAAUUGUAAAAAACGAAAACAACAGGUUUUUUAGUGGUUUCUUUUUUUUUCUUUAAUUUGGUAUCAUUACUGUACAAUUACAUGAGCAACAUAUGGUUACUAGACUCUCCCCAUUAUCAAGUCCCCAUCACAUACCCCAAUAUAGUCACUGUCCAUCAGCGUAGUAAGACGCUAUAGAAUCACUACGUGUCUUCUCUGUGCUAUACAGCCUUUCCUGUGCCCCCAUCCCUACUUUAUGUGUGCUAAUUGUAAUGCCCCUUUUCCCCCUUAUCUCUCCCUUCUCACCCAUCCUCCCCAGUCCCCUUCCCUUUGGUAACUGUUAGUCCAUUCUUGGGUUCUGUGAGUCUGCUGCUGUUUUGUUCCUUCAGUUUUUUCUUUGUUCUUAUCCUCCACAGAUGAGUGAAAUCAUUUGGCACUUGUCUUUCUCCACCUGGUUUAUUUCACUGAGCAUAAUACCCUCUAGCUCCAUCCAUGUUAGUCGUUCCUUUUCAAACCACUUUAAUUACAGUAUUUAAUGGUUAUAGCCCAUAAUAAGUAUGACAUCUAUGAUGUGGAGACCAAAAACAAAACAAAUUGUUUGCUAGGCUCACCUUUGUGCCUGCCUUGGGUGGUGCCUUUAGGAUACAACUUCCUUGCUCCUUCCACGCUUUUCUGGGACCCUGGGGAUAGCCGGCUCUCCAUGAGAAUGGCUCCGCAGCCCUUCUCUGCGGUUGUCCUUUUUCCCUAAAUGCACUGCUUUGCCUUGGGGAAGAGGCAGCCCCUCUGACAAGCCCCUGCAGGGCCUCAAGAGAGCUUCCUGUAGUUCACCCCCAUCUCACUUUACAUUCUGUCCCAUGUCUUAUUUUUUGUGCACUUGAAAAUCUCUCCACAUCCCCUCUUCUCAUUUGUUAUUACAAGUCUGAGGCUUGGCAUAGGGCUGAUCGCUGGGGCUCACUAUUUGUUUUCCUUGUUGACCACCCACAAGAUGUGAGUUGAUCUGUCCUCCCUCCCUUUUGCAAGAGCGACUAGAGAGCCCUCACUUGGUUUUGAGAAAUUCAUGCUGUGUUUGGGGCCUCCUCUGACGUUUUUACGGGGUUCCACUUCUAAAAAUACCUAUCAGUCUGAUAAUUUCUAGAAAGAGGAAGGAAAUUUCUUACUGAGAGGUAAAUAAUAAUUUCUGGUCUUUGAGGGGAUCAUUUAAAGCUCCUAAAUGAAACAGCCUAAUGAAAUGCCACCCAUGUGGCUUGAAAUAGUUAACAAAUGUCUAAAAGGUGCGGAAUUACUCUAGGAGUAAAGUAUGCCUAGGAGUCCUGCAGCUGGAGCAGGAUGCUAAAGGGCUGUCCUGUCUAUCAAUCCCUCUGCCUCUUAGUAAAAUAAAUGGCCUCAGGUAAGUGUGAUGGUUUCAGUUGAAGCCAUUCUCAGGAAAAUGUGAGCCUGUUGCCUCUCUCAAUAAUUUAUCCCUUACUCAAUAAUUGUUGGUUGGUACAUUUUCCUUACAUCUCAUGAAAAUCCUUUCUAUUGCUUUUCAAACCAAUGCAAUACAAUGCCCAGGAGAAGUAGAAAAAUG